GGUUACAUUUCCAGGAUUUUCCUCAGUCUUCCAGCUCCCAAGUCUGUUUUGUCUGAUGCUUAUGCCAGCUCUGCAUCUUCCUGGCUGUCAGCUCCUCAGAAUUUCCCAAGGGAGAGAGAGCUUCAUGAAGAGGCUUUGCAGCCCUGGGAUUUGGGCAGCUGGAGGCCUUGCUUCUGAGAGAUGUGGGCAUUGCUGUAAGCUGAUGGUAAUAAUUCAACAAGGACACAUGUAGUGGCAAUUGAUCUUGCUGUGAGCUGGCAACCUGUGGAAAGCAGAGCAAAUGGGUGGGCUGCUGAGUAGGAGGAAUCUGCUUGGGAGACAUGGCCUGUAGACAGACUAUCAUGCAGUGGCCCACAGCAGCUUACACUGACAAGUCUUUUCUAGUGAUGAAAGCAUGACAGUAGCUGCCAGAAUGAAACCUGCCUCUUCUAAGGAGCAACAGAGACUUCUUCCACAGUUAAUAAACAAAUUUUAUUAAACAACUUAAUAACUACCAAACUCAAUAAACUAAUAGCUUUAUUAACAAGUGAAA